rnacentral:lncRNA from 1 species
AGGGGCGCAAGUGAGGAAGAUCUUCAGGAGGUACUGCGGACUGGAGAAUAAACAAUGUGGAGUGAUUAUAUUGAUUGUCCACUUCUUCUCUUGGAGCGAGGUUGCUUGGGUCAUGAGGAUAGUACCCUUGCUCGAUGAUUCUCCAUAAAUUUGUUGAGCUGUGAUUCAAAUGAGACUUAAUAGAAAACACCCAGUUAGCAAAAUCACCCUUAACAAGCUUAGGAGGAAGACCAACAGGAUUAAGACGCGGUGUAGGAACUGGUCCUCCAUAGACCAUGAGAGGUGGAACUGAGGCAUAUGUUCCAGUCCCAUUAUUUUUGAGAGGGGAAGAAGGUCGCAUAC